GCCGGAGUGGCGAAAUUGGUAUACGCAGGGGACUCAAAAUCCCCCGAUCGCAAGAUCGUGCGGGUUCGAGUCCCGCCUCCGGCACCA
rnacentral:tRNA from 1 species